rnacentral:rRNA from 1 species
UACGUAGGGGGCAAGCGUUGUCCGGAAUUACUGGGCGUAAAGAGCUCGUAGGCGGUCUGUUGCGUCGGCUGUGAAAACCCGGGGCUCAACUCCGGGCCUGCAGCCGAUACGGGCAGACUAGAGUUCGGCAGGGGAGACUGGAAUUCCUGGUGUAGCGGUGAAAUGCGCAGAUAUCAGGAGGAACACCAGCGGCGAAGGCGGCGCUCUGGGCCGGAACUGACGCUGAGGAGCGAAAGCGUGGGAGCAAACAGG